rnacentral:rRNA from 2 species
CAAGGUUUCCGUAGGUGAACCUGCGGAGGAUCAUUG